UACGUAGGGGGCAAGCGUUGUCCGGAAUUAUUGGGCGUAAAGAGCGUGUAGGCGGUCCGGUAAGUCAGCUGUGAAAGUCAAGGGCUCAACCCUUGAAAGCCGGUUGAUACUGUCGGGCUAGAGUCCGGAAGAGGCGAGUGGAAUUCCUGGUGUAGCGGUGAAAUGCGCAGAUAUCAGGAAGAACACCAAUGGCGAAGGCAGCUCUCUGGGACGGUACUGACGCUGAGACGCGAAAGCGUGGGGAGCGAACAGG
rnacentral:rRNA from 1 species